rnacentral:rRNA from 1 species
UAUAGGGUCAAGUGAAUAAGUGCAUGUGGUGGAUGCCUUGGCGAUUACAGGCGAUGAAGGACGUUGUAGCCUGCGAAAAGCCGCGGGGAGCUGGCAAACAAGCUUUGAUCCGCGGAUGUCCGAAUGGGGAAACCCACCCGCAAGGGUAUCGCUGACUGAAUUCAUAGGUUAGCGAGGCGAACGUGGCGAACUGAAACAUCUAAGUAGCCACAGGAAAAGAAAUCAACCGAGAUUCCGAAAGUAGUGGCGAGCGAAAUCGGAGCAGCCUGUGCGUGAUAGUCGAUUGGCUAGUGGAACGGUAUGGAAAGGCCGGCCAUAGAGGGUGAUAGCCCCUUACACGAAAGCGAAUCGGUGGUACUGAGCGUACGACAAGUAGGGCGGGACACGUGUAAUCCUGUCUGAAGAUGGGGGGACCAUCCUCCAAGGCUAAAUACUCAUCAUCGACCGAUAGUGAACCAGUACCGUGAAGGAAAGGUGAAAAGAACCCCGGGAGGGGAGUGAAAUAGAUCCUGAAACCGCAUGCAUACAAACAGUCGGAGCCUCGCAAGGGGUGACGGCGUACCUUUUGUAUAAUGGGUCAGCGACUUACGUUCAGUGGCAAGCUUAACCAGAUAGGGGAGGCGCAGGGAAACCGAGUCCGAAUAGGGCGCCAUAGUCGCUGGGCGUAGACCCGAAACCAGGUGAUCUAUCCAUGGUCAGGAUGAAGGUUGGGUAACACCAGCUGGAGGUCCGAACCGACUAAUGUUGCAAAAUUAGCGGAUGAACUGUGGAUAGGGGUGAAAGGCUAAUCAAACCUGGAAAUAGCUGGUUCUCCCCGAAAACUAUUUAGGUAGUGCGUCAUGUAUUGCUCCAGGGGGUAGAGCACUGUAAUGGUUGUGGGGGCCAUCGCGGCUUACCACGCCAUAGCAAACUCCGAAUACCUGGAAGUAUGAGCAUGGCAGACAGUCGCCGGGUGCUAACGUCCGGCGGCAAGAGGGAAACAACCCAGACCUACAGCUAAGGUCCCAAAGUGUGGCUAAGUGGGAAACGAAGUGGGAAGGCUAAAACAGUCAGGAUGUUGGCUUAGAAGCAGCCAUCAUUUAAAGAAAGCGUAAUAGCUCACUGAUCGAGUCGUCCUGCGCGGAAGAUGUAACGGGGCUAAGCCAUGCACCGAAGCUUAGGCUGCACUCUCUGAGUGCGGGGUAGGGGAGCGUUCUGUAAGCCUGUGAAGGUGUCUCGUAAGGGAUGCUGGAGGUAUCAGAAGUGCGAAUGCUGACAUGAGUAGCGUUAAAGCGGGUGAAAAGCCCGCUCGCCGUAAGCGCAAGGUUUCCUACGCAACGUUCAUCGGCGUAGGGUGAGUCGGCCCCUAAGGUGAGGGCGAAAGCCAUAGCUGAUGGGAAGCUGGUUAAUAUUCCAGCACCGAUUUCUAGUGCGAUGGGGGGACGGAUCGUGGAAGGUUGUCCGGGUGUUGGAAGUCCCGGUUCCUGACCUGUAGGUGUCUGGUAGGUAAAUCCGCCAGGCGUAUGCCGAGGGGUUGGGACGAGCGAGCUUGCUCGCGAAGCAACUGGAAGUGGUUCCAAGAAAAGCCUCUAAGCUUCAGCUAGAAACGACCGUACCGCAAACCAACACUGGUGCGCGAGAUGAGUAUUCUCAGGCGCUUGAGAGAACUCGGGAGAAGGAACUCGGCAAAUUGACACCGUAACUUCGGAAGAAGGUGUGCCUUGGUAGCUUGAGUGUGAACAACACAAGGGCGAAGAGGUUGCAAAGAAUAGGUGGCUGCGACUGUUUAUUAAAAACACAGCACUCUGCAAACACGAAAGUGGACGUAUAGGGUGUGACGCCUGCCCGGUGCCGGAAGGUUAAGUGAUGGGGUGCAAGCUCUUGAUCGAAGCCCCGGUAAACGGCGGCCGUAACUAUAACGGUCCUAAGGUAGCGAAAUUCCUUGUCGGGUAAGUUCCGACCUGCACGAAUGGCGUAAUGAUGGCCAGGCUGUCUCCACCCGAGACUCAGUGAAAUUGAAAUGGUUGUGAAGAUGCAAUCUACCCGCGGCUAGACGGAAAGACCCCGUGAACCUUUACUGUAGCUUUGCAUUGGAUUGCGAACCGACUUGUGUAGGAUAGGUGGGAGGCUUUGAAGUCAGGACGCCAGUCUUGAUGGAGCCAUCCUUGAAAUACCACCCUGGUUUCUUUGAGGUUCUAACCCAGACCCGUAAUCCGGGUCGGGGACCGUGCAUGGUGGGCAGUUUGACUGGGGCGGUCGCCUCCUAAAGAGUAACGGAGGAGUUCGAA